rnacentral:rRNA from 1 species
AACGAACGCCGGCAGCGUGGAUUAGGCAUGCAAGUCGAACGGGAAUCCGCGUGUUCAAUCCUUCGGGAGAGAACGUGCGGAGGAGAGUGGCGCAAGGGUGAGGAACACGUGGGUAACCUGUCCCUCAAGUUGGGAAUAACCCGGCGAAAGCCGGGCUAAUACCGAAUGUGGUCGUUUGUCGCAUGACGGAAUGACUAAAGGCGGGGAUCUUUCGGGACCUGUCGCUUGGGGAGGGGCCCGCGUCCCAUCAGCUUGUUGGUGAGGUAAUGGCUCACCAAGGCUUACGGGUAGCUGGUCUGAGAGGAUGGUCAGCCACACUGGGACUGAGACACUGCCCAGACUCCUACGGGAGGCUGCAGUCGAGGAUCAUUUGCAAUGCGCGAAAGCGUGACAAUGCGACGCUGCGUGGAGGAUGAAGGCCCUCGGGUUGUAAACUCCUGUCAUUUGGGAACAAUGUUCCCGGGGUGAUAACCCUCGGGAUUUGAGUGGUACCGAAAGAGAAGCCACGCCAACU